rnacentral:siRNA from 1 species
GAAUGUCUUUGUUGAAGUCCGAGG